rnacentral:rRNA from 1 species
AGUAGCGCGUGGGCAAUCUACCCUGGAGUGGGGAAUAACCAUCCUAACGGGUGGCUAAUUCCGCAUGUGACCGUUUCUUCGCAUGGAGAGACGGGGAAAGGUGGGGAUCUUCGGACCUGCCGCUCCAGGAGGAGCCCGCGUCCCAUUAGCUUGUUGGUGGGGUAAUGGCCCACCAAGGCGACGAUGGGUAGCCGAUCUGAGAGGAUGACCGGCCACACUGGGACUGAGAUACGGCCCAG